rnacentral:rRNA from 1 species
UACAGAGGUCUCAAGCGUUGUUCGGAUUCAUUGGGCGUAAAGGGUGCGUAGGCGGCGCGGUAAGUCGGGUGUGAAAUCUCGGAGCUUAACUCCGAAACUGCAUUCGAUACUGCCGUGCUUGAGGACUGGAGAGGAGACUGGAAUUUACGGUGUAGCGGUGAAAUGCGUAGAUAUCGUAAGGAAGACCAGUGGCGAAGGCGGGUCUCUGGACAGUUCCUGACGCUGAGGCACGAAGGUCAGGGGAGCAAAACGGG